AGCUGCCUUUGUUGGAAAAGCAGUAUUGCCACCUUGAGGUCUAAAAUGGAACAUCCGGGGAGCUGACGUGUUUCCCUAAUUAUUUCUGCAUACUUAUUCUGUUCAGAAAUGUUUCAUAGCUAAUACAGUAUAUACUCCUCCAACUGGAUAAGAAAUGAAGCAAGUUUAAUCAUGAUGCAAAGAAGCACCUGGCCAGCUUGGAUAGAUGGGACAUUUUCUUCCUUUUUUAAAAAAAAAUA